AGGACCCCACUGGAAAUAAGUCGUCUUCUAGACUUUUGUGGGCUAUCCUUGGUGUUUACACCAAAUAAAUCCAAUCCUGUAGGUACAUUAUUAUUAUAUUGUAUCCGUUUGUUGUUUUCAAUGUUUAUCAAUAAUUGAAUUGCCUUUUACUGUUUGUCCAUGUCUUUCAUUUUAUGCAGCAGGCAAAAAGAAUUUAUUUCAUCACAUGUUUGGUUAAUGAUAAUAAAGCAAUCUUGAAUCUUAAACUAUUUUAUAUUAUGAAGGUGAUUGCAGUUCCAUUGGUGAUGUGGAAGAUGAAAAUAAGACCAAUUCAGAAAAAUAAGACCAAUUCAAAAAAUAAUAUAAAAAAAAUGCUUACAGCUUGAGCAGUGGGCUGAUCUAGGAUUAAAGAAUGGAGGAUGGCUAGGACAAUCAGACGCCACAUGACCUCUAUAUAAAGAAUAAAUGUAAGAAAUAUGAUUCUAGAAAUAGAGAAAAACACAAGGAAGAAGUCUUGCAACUUCUGCAAGGCUUUGAAGUUCCGGAGGCAAUAUUAGCCAGAGGCAGUGAGGCUCUGAAGGUUUUUAAUGAGGAAUUACAAGAAGGAAGGAUCACAGUAAACCAUGCACGAUUAAUGGUGACAGGCAAAGAAGGGGUGGGAAAGACUUGUUUGGUAAACACUCUGCUUGAAAGAACGUAAGUUUCCGAAGUGCUGUAUCUGUCAAUGGAUUUCCAAUAUAAAUGUUGCUGUAUUGCUGUACUUUUUUAUACAAGUUUUGUAUUUUAUUUGCUUUCUAUAUAUUAAAAAAAAAAAUACAGUAUGAUACCACGUAAAUAUUAUUGUUUCAAACAUGCAUGUACUUAAAUUGUCAUUACC